CUGGAGUGCAUUUUAACAGCUUCUGAUUGGCUUCUACAGUAGGUUCUCUGGAGGGUUCGGAGCCCGGGACUACAGGCAGACGAGCGGCACCGGAGGCAGCAGCGCCGGCAGCGGCGGCGGCUUUGGAGGCCGAGGCGGCCGCAGCACCGGGGGCCACGGAGGAAAUCGUGGAUUUGGUGGUGGUGGUGGUGGCUUUGGGAAUUUCUACGGCAAUGACGGAUAUGGAGGAAGCUACUCUCACUCGCAAGUGGACUGGUGGGGCAAUUAAUAAUUCAAAUGCCCCGAAUUUUUCAGACCUCCACUCGAUACAUGUUGAUGGGCUCAUACAGCCCUAUUUGCUGAAUGAGAACCACAUGUUAGCCAGUUUGAAUAACCAUAUGUAGCUUGAGGACCCUAUCCGUACAUUAUAAGUUGUGAUUCUUUGUGAUGACUUGGUUGGGGGGAAAAAAAUUGUGGCACGCAUCACAAGAACAUAUCCACAGUUUACGUGACAGAAAGAAAACAUCUACUGUCUACUGCUUGUUCUGUGACACAAAGAUGAAUGACCAAGUCAAAGACUAUGUUAUUUGCAUCUUACUUAUCUUUUGCAGAACAAAGAAUCACUUGAUAAUGUACUGUCUUUUUUUUGUUUUUGUUUUUUUUCCUUUUACAUUUGCUUUUUUUAAAAAGCAAUGUACUUACUGACACCAGGCCAUGAACUUCAAGUUUUAUAUUUUCUUAAAAGGCAAAUAAUUGAGCUCAGAUUAAAUCAAACCUUGGCAAAUGUCUUGAGAAAUAAUGACUUGUCAGUCAUUAUUCCAUUUUGAACUUUUCAAAUUUUGUCACCAGCCAUCCUGUGACCUGAUCAUAGGUUGCGUUCCUUUAUUGGAAGCAAUGAUCUGGCAAAAAAUGCAUUUCAAAUGAAAACGUGAUCUGUUCACUAGUUCUUUAAAGGUACCCUUUGGAUUUUGUUGAUCAAGCCAUUCCAGUGCAUAAUCUUAAUAUUCAGUCAUUAUUUAAUUUUCUCAGAAUGUGUUUACAGAGCUGCAAAGGCACUUGGUGCUUCAACUUAAAGGCCAUUCAUUUUAGCUUAUCUGCAAAGGCAGCUAGUUGAUUUUGAGAGACUAGCAUGUGAAUGGUAUGUUAGCGCAUUCUUACUUGAACUGUAUGGAAACAGGAUGGAUAUCGAGUAAAUGUCUAUCUUAAUCAUAAUGUGAGAUUGGAAUUGUACAAAAGCAGCAUUUGCAAAAGUGGAAUGGCUACAUUAUUACCACAGGAGUAGAGUGUGUGUUAAUGCUACCACUGCAAUGGUCCCAUGCUAGUGUUUUUUGUUUUGGUCAAGGAGACAAAAUCUACAGAAGGCUUUUUUUUUUUUUUUUUCACGCAAAUCAUAAAACAAUCUUUUUUUUUUUCACUUAAUUUUCUUGGUCUCUUUUUUUUUCUUUCAAGCUGCGUUAAAAAAGACAUACAGACGUAAGGCGUAACUCGUUUGAGGCACAGUUCCACCCGCCAUUAAACUCACGGCUGGGUGUUGUUCCCCUUUGGAAGCUAAGCGGUCAGCUGAGGCUAACUGUAGAAUAUGGUAGGAUAUCAAAAAACAUAGGAGCUUCACAAGGUGUGGCUUUUGAAGCAUAAUUACUUUUUUUUGUUUUUGUUGUAGUCAUUCUUUGAUACAACUAAUGUUACCAUCUGAUUGGGUGCUGUUCGAUGCUUGUUCCAUUCUGACUGUGUAUUUUGGCAGCUAAUGUGAGGAAAUCUAGAGUUUGGGUUGCUGUUAGUGUACUGUGGAGACUAUAUCAGUGGUUCGUGGCCGAGUCGUCGAGGGGUGUCCCCCCCUAGGCAGGCGGCAUAAUUUUUUCUCAAGGAGAAAGUCAUUUGGGAGUGGGCAUGAGAAGUCUUUUGACUGAAGUGCAAUAUAUUCACUUUCAACUGUGUUGUGCCUUGAUAUAUUUCAAAUUCUUAGCCCAAUACCAAUGCACUGACAGUGUUGUGGUAACAGAAGUUGUGUGGUGCUACAAGUUGGGUCUAGAUUCUCUUACAUUACACCCAUCAAGUUUUAUUAAAGUUAUUUUAUUGAUUGCACGUGUGCAGUUUUAUAGAUGUCUCGUACAUGUCCUUAUGUGUAAAGAUUGUUAAAACGCAGCUUGUUUACAAAAGGGGAAAGGGUUCUCAGUAUUUUACCUGGGUUUAUUUGGGACCAGGAAAUUGGCAGUGGAGAAUUUAGCCAUUUGCACAGAUUACUAGAUUCUACUUUUGCUGCUAGACUGUAAUUUAUUAAGCAUUUUUGAAAAGUAUUUAUUUUUAUAUGCCUAAAAAGUGAUACUUUCAAUUAACUUGACCAAAAGACGGUAAAAACACUGGCACUUGAAUGUUUGUCACCUGAGUGAAAGUUGUUUAUUGGGAUAGUGUGAGGUUGUUAGUGUCAACUAUCGGCCUCGUGUGCAUUUGGAUCAAUUCAAUUUGGCUGUCAAAAUUUGAAAGCUUACCACCAUGCCAAGGUUUGGAAAGAAAAAAAAAAUAACAGUACAUUGUUGUCAGUAAAUAGUGUUUUGUUUUGUUUUUUUAGCCCCUUUUCCCCCACCCCACCCUUUAUAACUGGCACAUGAGAAAUUUAUAAAAGAAAGCAUCCUACAUGUGGUGUAUUAUAAUGUUCAGAUGGAUUAUUUGGGCAUCCUGAGGAGGAGGCCCUCUUUGAUGUGUGUGCUACUCUAGCAGCCAAGUGAGACUUUUUAUUGGGCUUCUCACUCCCUGUAGAGGUUAGUAUUUGCUUUACGGAAUAGUGUAGAUACUAUGCACUACAUGAAGACAACUGUCAAUUGUAAGAUUUUACCAAAUUAAAUUUUGACAUUGCAAAUGCA